GUCCUCAAGAGGUUCAUAACUUUUCCUGUCACCCAAGACAGCGCUGACCGAAAGAAAGCAGAAUUCUUUGCUAUAGCCAAUUUCCCUAACAUCGUAGGUGCCAUUGAUGGCACACACAUCCGAAUUGUGGCACCGAGGGAUCAAGAAGAAGUGUAUGUGAACCGGAAGGGGUAUCACAGCAUGAAUGUCCAAGUUGUAUUUGAUGCCAAUUAUCGAAUAUUGGACAUUCUUGCCAAGUGGCCAGGGUCAGUGCAUGAUGCACGUAUCUUGAACAGCAGUGGAUUGUCAAGAUUGUUUGACGGAGGAUAUGUGCCAGCAGGAAGUCACUUGCUUGGAGACAGUGGGUACCCCUGCAAGACAUGGCUCCUUACACCUUAUCUGCGUCCACUGCCUGGACCUCAGUCACGAUAUAAUAGGUCUCACAAAAUUACACGCAGUAUUGUUGAACGUGGAAUUGGACAACUCAAACGCCGAUUUCAUGUUUUGCAUGGUGAGGUACGAUUGAGGCCCCCCCUCAAGGUGUGCAAAAUCAUUCAUGUGUGUGGAAUGCUGCACAAUAUUUGCAAGGAUAGGAAUCUUCCUCUUCCUCUGGAUGACGAGCAACCAAUGGGUGCAGAGGCACAAGUCCCAGUGCCAUUAAAUGAUGCUGCAGAAGAACCUGCCAAUGCGCCCGGUGGUCACCGUAAUGAGGGUCGUGCCUAUCGGGAUGCAUUCUGCACCUUGCAUUUCAGCAAUGAGGACUGAUGGAACGUCCUCCAACAGGGCCUCGUGUACCUACCUUGCCUGUUCCUUGGCCCGCAUAGCUGCCUCCUUGGCCCUCGCAGCGGACUCCUUGGCCCUCGCAGCGGACUCCUUGGCCCUCGCAGCGGACUCCUGUGCUCGGGCAGCUGCCUCUUGGGCCCGUGCAGCGGAUGCCACUGCCUGAGCAGCUGCCUUGUGU